UUAGCAACAUUACCACCCCUGCUCCUGAAGACCACAACAUUACAAUUAGCAACAUAACCAGCCCUAGUCCUGGGGACCAUAACAUAACAAUUAGCAACGUAAGCACCCAUAUUCCUGGAGACCAUAACAAUACAAUUAGCAACACAGCUAACCCUAUUACCCCUAAAAAUCCUCCCCAGACCAGUAGCACGACAGUCUUCCGUAAAACCUCUCCAUUAACAACUACCUCGGGCCAAUCUAACCCCCCAGUUGCCCCUACUGAGAGAGCAACAAGCAGGCAUCAGGCUGCCACGGGCCAAACGACCAGUCAUAAGAACACAGAGAAUACGGAGGCGACACAUAAGACCACAGAGAAUGCUGCAGCUGUAGUUGCUGUGGGCGGAGAGGGAGUCCCAGAAUGGGGGAUCACUCUAUUGAUACUGGCUGCCCUGACCUUGUUAAUCUUCCUUAUUCUCCUAAUACUGCUGCUAGUGUGGUUGUGCUGUAGGCAGAGAUAUGGAAGUUUCAGCCCAUAUAACCAGAUCAACCACGGGGCAGACAUCCUAAUGUACUCCACACACAGCCGCUUCGAAGUGCCCAACGGCAAGCCUAAUGACGAAAUGGGGGGACCAUCGAAAAACCGAACAGGGAUGUAUGUGGUGAACGAGUACUGACACACAGAAGCUCCAGUCAAUUGGGUAAGAAGACCAUCUGAAAUGGCCUUAUGAAAUAAUAUGCAUGGGAGCAAUGACAAUUCUGUACAAAUGGUCCAAUUAUCUCUGAAAUAUCUGAAUGAAGAUCAUGGCGUUGGCUUACUGAUUGUAAUUUCAACCUGUAUUUAUUCAAAUCAAAUCACAUUUAUUUAUGAAGCCCUUUUUACAUCAGCUGAUGUCACAAAGUGCUAUACA